rnacentral:rRNA from 1 species
GAUCAUGGCUCAGGAUGAACGCUAGCGGCAGGCCUAAUACAUGCAAGUCGAACGGGAUAGGCUCCUCGGGGGCCUGAGAGUGGCGCACGGGUGCGCAACGCGUAUGCAACAACCCCCGACGGGCGGAUAGCCGGUGGGAACGCCGGAUAAUACGCCAUGGUUCCGUGGGAGGGCAUCCUCCUGUGGAUAAAGUCGAGAGGCGGUCGGGGACGGGCAUGCGUCCCAUUAGGUAGUCGGCGGGGUGACGGCCCACCGAGCCCGUGAUGGGUAGGGGAUCUGAGAGGACGGUCCCCCACACUGGUACUGAGACACGGACCAGACUCCUGCGGGAGGCAGCAGUAAGGGAUAUUGGUCAAUGGUCGGAAGACUGAACCAGCCAUGCCCGCGUGAGGGAAUGAGGCCCUACGGGUCGUGAACCUCUUUUAUUCGGGGACAAGGACUUCCACGAGAUGGGAGUUUGAGGGUACCGAAGGAAUAAGCGUCGGCUAACUCCGUGCCAGCCGCUGC